AACGCACAUUGCGCCUGCCAGUACUCUGGCAGGCAUGCCUGUCCGAGCGUCAUAUCACCCCUCAGGAGGCCCUGGCUGCCGCCUGGUGUUGGGGCCCCUACGCGCCGCCGUAGGCCCCGAAAUCCGUCGGCGAGCCCGCCGGAGCUCCCCAGCGCAGUGAUCCACCGCCGCUGAGGGCGCCCGGGAGGUGCUCUGCCCCCCCCCGAUAUCGACUGUUUGACCUCGGAUCAGGUAGGACUACCCGCUGAACUUAA
rnacentral:misc_RNA from 1 species